rnacentral:RNase_P_RNA from 1 species
CUAUUCCGUUACAGACGAUCGCGCUGUCCUGAAUAUUCAGGAUGUGAGGAAAGUCCGGACUCCGUAACGGACAGUGGUGCCGGGAGAAACUCCCGGGUAAUCAUUUCGCAAGAUUUGUUUACAGAAAGUGUAACAGAAAAUAUACCGUCCCGGCUUGCCGGCGAUAAGGGUGAAAAGGCAGGGUAAGAGCCUACCAUCCGGAAAGUGAUUUCCGGGAUCUACAAACCUCACCAGGAGCAAGACCAUGUACAGGGAAUUGAAGAACUGUCCGCUUUGUAUAUUCCCGGGGUAGGUCGCAAAAAGCUUUACAGUAAUGUAAAGAUAAGAUAAAUGAUCGUCAUCCUUUGAAAAAAGGAAACAGGAUCCGGCUUAUUUAACGGAAUAGAAUU